AUACGUAGGGUGCGAGCGUUGUCCGGAAUUACUGGGCGUAAAGAGCUCGUAGGUGGUUUGUCGCGUCGUCUGUGAAAUUCCGGGGCUUAACUCCGGGCGUGCAGGCGAUACGGGCAUAACUUGAGUACUGUAGGGGAGUCUGGAAUUCCUGGUGUAGCGGUGAAAUGCGCAGAUAUCAGGAGGAACACCGGUGGCGAAGGCGGGUCUCUGGGCAGUAACUGACGCUGAGGAGCGAAAGCAUGGGUAGCGAACAGGAUUAGAUACCCUGGUAGUCCAUGCCGUAAACGGUGGGCGCUAGGUGUAGGGGUCUUCCACGACUUCUGUGCCGUAGCUAACGCAUUAAGCGCCCCGCCUGGGGAGUACGGCCGCAAGGCUAAAACUCAAAUGAAUUGACGGGG
rnacentral:rRNA from 1 species